UCAGGGACCAGAUGUCAGCCAUGGAUGAGCUUCAAGGCUGUCGGAUGCUGGUGUCCACUCCAACAGAUGGAUAUAAAAGACUGCACACCAGUAGAAGGACCUAAACAGCCAGACUCAAGCCCCAUGUAGCAGGCCCACUCCUGGGAGACUGAAGAUCUGGAGUUGGACGCCGUGAAAGAACCUGAAGAAAAACGAUCCAACUGCAAGUGGGUCGGCUCACCCUCUCCUCUCCAUGGGCGUCCAACAGGCCCAUUGUG